rnacentral:lncRNA from 1 species
GUUGGGGCCGGCGCCGGGCCGCGAAAGAAACCGGAACCGCGGCGGGCUUGGCGCUCGCCGCCCCGUUCCCCCUCUCCCGGCGCCGGGCGGGACCUGCGCGGACUCCGCGGCACCGCCCGCGGGGAGGGGCUGCGUGGCCUGGGCCGCCCCACGCUCCCGCCCGCCGGGGCUAGCCCGACCAAGGCCUUCGGGGUGCGCGGGUGCGGGGCCUGGAGAGAGCCCCGGCUAUCAGGGAGACUGACCACGGUGGUCUUGGACCCCGAGGAUCCUUAUGGACCGCGAGGAUCCUUAUGGACCGCCAGAACUCGUUUCAGUUUUGGUUCCGUGGAACUCCCAAGACCUUCCUCCCACAUAAUCUCUGCAAAACUGGUAUUUUUUUCAAGUAAAGCUAGGAUUGUUUUCUCUCCAUAGGAGCUGAUCUAGCUAAAACUACUCAUGGACUGCCUGGCUCCUAAUUUGUUCAGCCAGUGGACUUGUGCUUCUGUUUACUACCUGUAGGUGCCUGCAUGGAUAAACAGUAGUUGUGCCCGCACUGAGAACAACAACAUACUGUCUCCUGGGAUAAACUAUCUACUUUUGUCUGCCCAGCAUCUUCCAAUAGUUGGCACUCAACACUAUGCAUUUGCCCUCCAUUUACCAGGAACUUUGUGAACUCAGAGCUAUUGUCCAAUGCACUAUCAGGACUUCAAAGUACAGCUGUUGAAAUUGCGCACCAAGAGCAAGUCAUGGACUAUGGAAUUGAAGGAAGCAGGACCAGGUCACUCACCUCAUGAAACUGAGAGCACCAAAGCAGUAUCUAGAACAGAAGCUGCUUGAAAGAGUCAUGUCUUCCAGAGCAAAGUUCAGUUCCCUGAAGACAGCUAGACUGUGAUGGUGAAAGAGGGAGAAAGGGAACCUGCCUUGUUCUGCUAAGGCUCCUAUGUGUUUAGAAGGAGGUCUGUUUAAAAAAUCUUGACGCUGCCUCUGCAAGACACUGGCUGAGCAUAAAGCCACAAAUAAGAGUACCACAGCUGCUUAGGGCAAGAACCAGCUUUGUUCCCUAAGGACUAAGCCAGCUCUUAGGCUGUCUUGCCUAAAGACUGCAAGGCAGUAUAUGUCAUUAUGAUGUUCGCACCCCUCCUACUUCAGACAGGAGUCUCCAUUUUUUACUUCAGUACCAAACGUUGUGGAUGUUCUUAGUUGUCACU